AGAUUUAUGGAAUAUGUAUUUUAUCCCUGUAGGAUGUUCUCGACUAAAAUGAAGUCUCAACCAAUUUUCAGAGAUGGUUCGGAUGAACUAUGGCUUGGGUUUAAAAUAAUAUGGAGUGUUUGAGGUUUUUUGAGAUUGUAAAAUCAGUGGAAAAUCAUGAGGGUUGGCCGAAUAAUACGUUUGCUCGAGCGGAUAUCUCGCGGGUAGUGAGUGAUCACACGUCCGCUCGAACACUCAUGGCGUGGACGACGAGCGGUGGAAUUAUUGUUAAAACCACUCGAGCGGUCUCUAGGCGUGGUGCGAGCAGUUUUGCAUCAACUUUUUCUCCUUGUUCGGUUUUUGACUCCUUCAAAACACUUCCAACCCCCAACUCUCUGACCUUAAUGACAACUCAAUAAACUCUGAUUUUAAACACGCAACUAACCAAUACAAUUUGGACCCAACAAAAUGUAUUUCAAUAUUUGAGCAGGGGCUGCAAUAUACUAAAGAAAAAUCAGUAGUUGUGACUUGUGACAAUUAAAGUGAAGAGCAUCAUGUGGUGGUACUCUAUCGACGUGUUUCAGAAAGUUAUCUUUUUAAACUUAUACUGCCGUGUGAUUUUAUAAGAGGCAGACAUCAGCUUCCACUCAUAACGUCUUAAUCGCUCUUGCAUUACAUCUAUAAUACACACAUCUAUUUCCAUGGGAUCUACUCGCUUUGUGGUCAUUCCUCGCCAUGUUCUCUGGAUCAGCUGAGUUUUUGUUCUACUCCUGAAGUUCCCGCUACAUUUUUUUAGCAUUGACAUCUAGACCACUGUUGAUUUAUUCGGGUUUUCAAUUUGUUUUAGUCAAUUAAGUUUAGUGAUUUAUAUACGAUAUUUGGCUAGUGAUUGCUGAUUUUCUCAAAGAAAGGGUUGUCAAUUGUUAUGCUUUGUGCUAACUUCCUCUAGGCAUAUAUUGUUGCGCUUGUGAACAAAGUUUACGACCUCUUGGGUUAUUCUAUCACGCCGUCCUAACAGUAGCGCUAUUUUGAGUGAACGGGAUAGGGACAAGUAGUUAUGGUGUGCCAAGCAGCUCGUCAGAUAAGAUUUCGGGCAUGGAAACAUGAGAAUGGAAUUGCUGGGCGUGCCAUCAAUAUAGUAGUUAUAGCAUGCUUUCAACCUAUCCAGGAUUGCCAGGUUACUAUACAAUAUUUGAUUUUGGAGAACAAGAUUCAACCGAAAAAAUGUUAGUUACUUUUGUUUUAUUCUACAAUGCUCAUAAGAAAGCUUAAUAACUUUUUUUGGAUAUAUUUCAGGCUGAAUAUUUCCGCCAAUUGCUUAAACCUGUUAUGUAGAUUGAUUUUCUUUCUGCCACUUUCGAGUUAAGCUUGGCUUUACAGGUUAUGUUUAAAGUGAGAGGUGAGUUUUAUUACUACUGGUGUUUUAAACUGGCAAGACUUCGAUUUCUCUGUUUUUUCAUUUUGAUUCAAGGGUAUUUAACAUUUGAUUUGUCUAAUGAAUCAAUCUCUGCAUAUUGUUAGGUGAUUUUUCCGCUUAAAUGGAAAAGGACUUAGGUCAUCUCCAAACUUGCACCAAAUUUUGUACCAAAUUUUACACCAAA
rnacentral:lncRNA from 1 species